CUACGGGUGGCUCCAGUGGGGAAUAUUGGACAAUGGGGAAACCCUGAUCCAGCAAUGCCGCGUGUGUGAAGAAGGCCUGCGGGUUGUAAAGCACUUUCGGUUGGGAGGACUGCUUCUAGCACUAAUAUUGUUGGAAGUUGACGUUACCUUCAGAAGAAGCACCGGCUAACUCGGUGCCAGCAGCCGCGGUAAUACGGAGGGUGCAAGCGUAAUCGGAAUUACUGGGCGUAAAGCGCGCGUAGGCGGCUAGAUCAGUCGGGUGUGAAAGCCCCGGGCUUAACCGGGGAACUGCAUCCGAUACUGUCUAGCUUGAGUACAGGAGAGGAGAGUGGAAUUCCACAUGUAGCGGUGACAUGCGUAGAUAUGUGGAGGAACACCAAUGGCGAAGGCAGCUCUCUGGCCUGUUACUGACGCUGAGGUGCGAAAGCGUGGGGAGCAAACAGGAUUAGAUACCCCCGUAGUC
rnacentral:rRNA from 1 species